AUAAAUAUACAUCAACCGGCAGAGGAAGAAAGGAAGCUUCUUUAGAGAGGCUACUAUUUGCUCCGUCGACGUGCGAAGCGCCUUAAAAGAUCCAUCCCGACGCUUAAAGAGGGCAGCCGGAGAGGGAAGGGGGAAAUCCGAAACCCUAACCCGAACCCGAGAGAGAGAGAGAGAGAGAGAGAAUGGACGCCAUUAGGAAGCAGCUCGACGUGCUCAUGGGGGCCAACCGCAACGGGGACGUGAGGGAGGUGAGCCACAAGUACUACGACCGUGACGUCUGCCGCCUCUUCUUGGCCGGCCUCUGCCCGCACGACCUCUUCCAGCUCACGAAAAUGGAUAUGGGUCCUUGUCCGAAGAUUCACUCCUUGCAGCUGAGAAAGGAAUAUGAAGAGGCAAAAGUAAAAGGUGAUCAUAAUUUUCAUAGGGAACUUGAGGAUAUGAUAGAAAGACUUAUUGUUGAGUGUGAAAGGAAAAUUCAAAGGGCUCUAAAGCGACUUGAGGAUGAGGAUGCUACUGCUGCUGUAGCAAUAUCCGUAUCUAAGGUUACUCAGACACCUGAAGUCAUGGAACUGUCGAAACAGAUAAAGGAGAAACUAAAAGAAGCUGAUGUUUUUGAUUUCGAAGGAAAAACUGAUAGUAAAAUACGGGUUUUAGAAUUGGUGGAAGACCUCAAAGGCCAAAGAGCUGACAAGCAGUCGGUGCUUCUUCUCGAUGCCUUCAACAAAGACAGGGCUUCUUUGCCAUUGCCAAAUCAGAAUCCUUCUCAACCAGCAUCCUUGCCUGUUGUCGAUCCUCCAGAUCGUCAUACACAGGAAAUGAUCUAUGAAAAACUUAAGAAAGCAGAGGAUCUUGGUGAGAGGGGACUGAUAGAUGAAGCCCAGAAAGCUCUAGAAGAAGCAGAAACUCUGAAAAAGCUGGGUGCACGGCAAGAGCCAAUCCUAGAAUCAUCAAAGUAUAGUGUUGCUGACGUACGAAUAACAGAUCAGAAGUUGCGUGUAUGUGAUAUAUGUGGAGCAUUCUUGAGCGUCUAUGACAAUGAUCGUCGCUUGGCUGAUCAUUUUGGAGGAAAACUUCACCUUGGCUAUAUGCUAAUCCGUGAAAAACUAGCAGAACUCCAGGUGCUGGUAUAAUGUUUCGCAUUCUCCAGUAAAGAGUUACGAUUAUUUUUGGCAUCAUACAUUGUCAUGUGGGAGGGUCCCUUUGAAGUAGUGGACAUAUAUGGACUCAGAGAACUUCAUUCCUGUCCUCCGUCACGACAACUGCAAUCACUUAAGUCAAAGAAACUGUAAGCAGAUAAACAGUAUGUAGAGCAUAUUAAAAUUGGCAGCAUAGCAUUGUGUUUUUUCAUUUUGAUGUAACUGCUCACUUAUUCCUGACCUUGGUUCUUAUUUGUGAUUUUGGGUUGGAAACUAAGCAACAUUGCAACAGUUGUUUGGUAAAUUAUGAGCAAUUUUAACAAUAACUGUUUAUAUGAUUUGAAUGUUCGUUUUUAAGCAACUAAUUUGCCUAGUUAGCAAAGUUUUUGGAAUUUACAAUGUCAUAAUGUGAUCAUCUCAUGCAUAGGAAUUCUGGAAUAGUUAUCCCUUAAUGUUAUAUGUUCUUCCCCAGUGGAGUUUGUAGAUCAUUAAUUCACUGCUUCUCAUUCAUAUAUUACAUGACAUGACAUGGACAUGGUAUUUGUUUGCAUGCAUUACUAAUGAUUUUAUAUAUGAAUACAUGUUUUGUAAAAGUCAUGAUCAUCAUUCUUGUACUACAUGUAAAUUGUAAAGGAUUAAAAUCAUUCACUAAGUACCUCGUAUUCAUAUACCAAACAUUAAGGAGAUAUUCACAGUAAUAGUAAGAUCCAAGCAAAUAAUCCAUAUUGAUUUAACUCCUGCAAUAAUGACAUAUCAUUAAUAAAUCUAGAUGAUGCAUAUGCUGGUGUUAGACUGGUGUCGGACAUGAAUGCUCCAAGCAUUUGAUGUGGUUGUGAUGCAUUAUUUCUCAUUUCUGAUUGCAUCCUGAAUUUCUCGUCAAAUGUGUCCAAGGUUAUCUUAGAUGAUGGUGUUAUUAUGUGACUAGGAGAAAUUAAUUGUUUACUACUAUGUUAUCAAUUAUGUGCUGUAACCUUUGGUCAUUCUACUAUUCUUCCGAGAAUUCUUAAUUGUAGCUGAAAGUAAAUAUAAAGUGACACUCCCUGAAAGUGGUCAAUGUCAAAUUAUUUAGUUUAUGAAUGCCAUCCCAGAAGUCAUUUUCAUAGAAAUGGUUAGAUAAACUUCUAUAAUUUAUUUGCACUUUGAUGACUUUGGAACAUGGAGAAUUGAACUCUGUGGAGUGGACUAUAACCAUAGCUGUUUGUAGCCUGUGAAUUAUGUGAUAUGGCUACAGCUGCUUGUUUAUUUUUGAGAUUGGUGCAUCUUCACAAUCUAUUUUGCCAGGAAGAGAGGAACAAAAAACGAAAAGUUGAUCGAUUUGAAGAUGAUAGGAGGGUAAAAGAUCAAAGUAGGGAUCGUGAUAGGGCUGGAAGCAGGGAUCAAGGUGUAGGUAAAGAGGUUCAUGUUGAUAAUCGAUUUAGAGGCAGAGAAUUUGAUCGACGAAAUAAAGACCAUGAUCCACAUUAUGAUAGAGAUCUUAGAGACCAAAAUAGAGAUUCUGAUCAAUCCCGCAGUUAUGACUCAAGGAGCAGAAGGCGACGUUCUCGCUCAAGGGAUCAUGGUAGAGAUUAUGACCGUCAUAGGCGUCAUGGCAGGUGCUGAUAUAUUUCCAUCUGGAUUACUACGGGUAUCUGUCAUGGACCGAGAAGGUUAUAAUAAAUCAGCUUAAAUUACUCGAUUGCUUUGGAGGCGUUUGGAAGGAGGUUGUGAGUGGCUAUCUGUGGAAGGGAAUACAUUGGUGAUAUGAUACGAGAAUAUGUCUCUAAGCGUCACUGAAGAGAGAGAAAUGGCGUCUCCAAGCUAAAGAUCCUUUUCUAUUCCUUUUCCACUUCAUCAUCUUAAAGAACUAUAUUCACUAGACUUAGCUUGGUUUGGCUUGAAUCAAUUUGUUUGAUGAUUUAUCAAUUCUAAAUCAAAUCAGAAUUACAAAACUAUAA